GAAUGGAAUACCUUGGCUCUUUCCAUUUAAUAUUAUAAUGGCUCCUGCUCAUACCUUGUAUCAUUUGUCCAAGGGCUAUACGAAUCGGAGGAAAACAAAGGUGAAAGAACAAUUGGAUUACGAUUUAUGUUUAGAAAAUAAUAAAGACCUUGAAGAACAUUUUGAUCCGGAACACACAGAAACAGACGGUAAAUCACAAGAACUUCCAUCGAGUUUGGAAAAUGAAUCGGCACUACAUGAACUCAAGAUGAGAUAUCUUUUAAUCAAUCAGCUCGCCAAAAGAGUUGACCUAUCUAAAUUCUAAAUUCUUGUACUUGUAGUUAAUAUAACUGCAACUGCAGGAGUAUACGUUGCGACUUAAAAACUCUUCUAAUACUAAUUCUAAUAGAUCGUUCACAUGUUACAAAAGCUAUUUUAGAGUUAGGGGGAGGGGCCGGUCUGAAAAAGUUUACGUCAGUGUAAUUUCUACGCGAUAGAUAUACAAAAUAGCUAAUAGUAAUAAAGUAAUAUCCUAAUCACUAAUAUGUAUAAAUUGAUAUACAUAUUAGUGAUUAGGAUAUUACAUAGUCAUACGUCAUACAUUAUAUGUGUGUAAAUGGGUUUACAGAAAGUGGCCCUUUUAAAAAAAUCUCGAAGAUCGACUGUAAAGUGAUUUAGCACGCUCGAAUAUUAAUAUAUUACGUUUUCACUUUUUGGAGCAUAAAUGAUAACGGGUGAUACUUGUAAUAUAUUUGUUUCAAGACCAUCGAGUAUCGACGAGUCCAACUCGGCGCACGUUUAGAUUAUAAACCUACAACAUAAAUGAUGACGUAUUUUUUAACAUGUGAACACUGAACGACCCAUAUUCAUAAAUGAUUGCAAAACAAAUAAAAUUAGUUUGUGUUUAUUAUCCAAGAUCAUUGAAACGAAAAUUUAAAUGCAAACUUUUGCAAACUUUUAACGAGCGAUUUGUGUUAGUGACAGUGUUAUACUUGUUAUACAUUUAAUUUUGUUAUA